UACGUAGGUGGCGAGCGUUACUCGGAAUUACUAGGCGUAAAGCGCGUGUAGGCGGGAGCUUAAGUUUGCUGUUAAAUCUCAUGGCUCAACCAUGAAAUGCCGGCGAAUACUGGGCUUCUUGAAUUCGGUAGAGGUAACUGGAAUUCCAGGUGUAGCGGUGAAAUGCGUAGAUAUCUGGAAGAACGCCAAAGGCGAAGGCAGGUUACUGGGGCCGCAAUUGACGCUGAGACGCGAAAAGCUAGGGGGAGC
rnacentral:rRNA from 1 species